GCCUGAGCGCUAACGUGAAUCUUACAUGUCAACCUGCAUGGAUGCUUUUUUCCAAAAUAUGUGGAUUUUUGUACGUGCAGGGAAUAAAAUUGACAAACAGAUUAUAACCAUAAUUGAUUGUAUUGCAAUUAACGUGUAUGCAAACUAAUAUGGAACUCCUAAACCCUCAUUUUUGUUCUUACUCAGUAGUGAGUAAAAUCGAAAUAAGCGUGCACGGUUCAACUUCAAUUUAAAAAGCCUUUUCAAAAGCCUUUCUGUAUGACAGCUGAAUUUAACGAACGAAGGUGUAAGAGCAAGCAUUGUGUGAGUGACAUUCUCGACAUUGGUAAAAUAUGUCACUAAUACCUACACACCCAGAUACUCACAAGCAAGCUGAAAAGGAAAUAAUAAUCAUCUUUAUUUACGUUUUUCAUCAUCCACUAGUUGCUUGCCAUGUAUUUUGUGCACACCUCCGUAUCAAUCCAUUGAUUCUCCCCAUCGCGAUGGGGAUCACAUUUCCAAAUCCAUAAUUAUUUUGUGCAUACGGUGCAAACGUUAUUUUUCUGCCUAGUGCUCAAAUACCAUUCUAAAAAGAAGAUACUAAAUACGAGUCUCUACUAGAUGAUUUUCUCUACCGGUGUUUUGUUGUUGCUUGGACUAGCAACCAGAAUUCGAUAUUAUCAAUUUCCCACCUUAUCGGCCGCGACGAUUUGAAAUCGUCGCAAAACAAAUUGACGCCAAAAUCGUCGCCAGCAGAAAUGGCCAUAAGAUCUGUCAAAUCAACUAAUAAAGAUGUUGGCGACGAUUUUGAUAGUGCCUAAAAAAUGGUCGGCGCGUUUUGUUACCAAGGAAACAGACAAUGGAACGACUUAUCACAGUCGAAAUUUUAUGACACGAACGGAAAACCAUCAGUUACUACUAUACUUUAUUUAUCAUCCAAUGCACACAGCGUACCAAGAGUACCAACAGGCAUACAAGGAACUAUUGCAAAAUGGUUUAGAUUAUGUAUUUGGAUGGUUAAAAGCAGCACCUAUAAAAGUGAGUAAACGAAAAUGAGGGAAAUUGGCAGAAAAGAAUUCAAAAAAUUCAAAUUAAAACGAACUUUAUUCAAACAACUUUUAUAAAUGUAAUAAACAGAAAUACGCGUUA